AUUGAACGCUGGCGGCAUGCUUUACACAUGCAAGUCGAACGGCAGCGCGGGCUUCGGCCUGGCGGCGAGUGGCGAACGGGUGAGUAAUACAUCGGAACGUGCCCAGUAGUGGGGGAUAGCUCGGCGAAAGCCGGAUUAAUACCGCAUACGACCUGAGGGUGAAAGCGGGGGAUCUUCGGACCUCGCGCUAUUGGAGCGGCCGAUGGCAGAUUAGCUAGUUGGUGGGGUAAAGGCCUACCAAGGCGACGAUCUGUAGCUGGUCUGAGAGGACGACCAGCCACACUGGGACUGAGACACGGCCCAGACUCCUACGGGAGGCAGCAGUGGGGAAUUUUGGACAAUGGGCGAAAGCCUGAUCCAGCAAUGCCGCGUGCGUGGUGAAGGCCUUCGGGUUGUAAAGCACUUUUGGCGGGAACGAAAAGGACUGUGCCAAUACCACGGUUCGAUGACGGUACCCGCAGAAUAAGCACCGGCUAACUACGUG
rnacentral:rRNA from 1 species